rfam:Stegodyphus mimosarum contig21217, whole genome shotgun sequence.
GCCUUCGUGGUGUAAUGGUCAGAAGACUCGGCGCAUAAUCAAGAAGUCCGAGGUUCGAAUCCCGGUGAGGGCA